rnacentral:rRNA from 1 species
AUUGAACGCUGGCGGCAUGCCUUACACAUGCAAGUCGAACGGCAGCACGGGUGCUUGCACCUGGUGGCGAGUGGCGAACGGGUGAGUAAUACAUCGGAACGUACCUUAUCGUGGGGGAUAACGCAGCGAAAGCUGUGCUAAUACCGCAUACGCCCUGAGGGGGAAAGCGGGGGAUCGCAAGACCUCGCGCGAUUAGAGCGGCCGAUGCCUGAUUAGCUAGUUGGUGGGGUAAAAGCCCACCAAGGCGACGAUCAGUAGCUGGUCUGAGAGGACGAUCAGCCACACUGGGACGAAGACACGGCCCAGACUCCUACGGGAGGCAGCAGUGGGGAAUUUUGGACAAUGGGGGAAACCCUGAUCCAGCAAGGCCGCGUGAGUGAAGAAGGCCUUCGGGUUGUAAAGCUCUUUUGUCGGGGAAGAAACACCGGCUCUAACACAGUCCGGGAAUGACGGUACCUGAAGAAUAAGCACCGGCUAACUACGUGCCAGCCGCCGCGGUAA